ACAGAACACAGACCCUCAGAGUGGCAGGCCCCAGUGGUUCCCUGAGCACCUCGGCUCACACUCACUCUAAUUCCAAGGCAUCUUUUUAUAGGACUGGGCCCAGCAGGCUCCGGGGAGAGGGAGGAGGUCUCCGCCGAGGUACAUACUGGAUGCGCCUGUCAGUCAUGUGUGUGUUUGGUGGGGAUGCAGACUAGUUAAAGGACUUUGUUCACCCUCCUCAUAUUGAGUAUGUCUUUCUAUACUGACAUUUUGACUCCUGCUGUCCUUGGGGAGACUGCUCUUCCCAGGCCUAGCCAACUCCUAAAGAUAGCAAAUUAAUUGCCUGCAAGAAAUCAAUUCAGAGUGCACCUCUCCCACACCUAUCAGUUCUAGGAGGCGCUGACACUCUGGGUCCUCACCGGCUUUGCUCAUCACCUCAGGGCCAGAUGUCACACUGCUCAGCGUUGGCCACACCCCAGAGCCCACUGAAGUUAUUCAAGGCGGCAUGCUAUUCCUCGGUCUCCUAAACAAUCCCAGUGCUUCCCCAAGGGGCCAUGCUGCAUGGCUGUCCCCUCCUCCUGGGACCCAUGAAUGACAAACAACAGCUAUCAUCUGAUCUGCCAGCCCCGCCACACCAGAAUAAUCUUAGCACCUCCAGCUGAAAUCUCCGCCUGGUUCCCAAGCUUCCAAGCACUUCAUUGCUGGGAAGACCUUUUUAAAACAGGCAGAAAAGGCCAGAAACAGAAACAGCAUCCUGCAGCCUUGUUAAGUGGAGUGAGGCCAGAAACCUCAGAACAAUCUGCUCAAUGUCAGCUCGGUGCUACCAGCUGUUAGCAUCUGGAUGGUGGGGAGCUGACCCAACAGAGCUCAGAGCACUGGCAAGCACCUCCUUCCCAGCCUCACUUUCAUCCGUGUUCCAGCUGGGAUGGCAAGUGGCCCCGGGGGACAGUGGGAAGGGGUCCGCACCAGGACAACUGGGAAAAUGGCUAACGCCUUCCAGGUGCAGAGGACUGAUGGAGCACAUGAAGGGGGAGGGAUGGGAUGCUCAAGUCACUUCACAGUGGACACCUGCAAUGCUUGGGCUGGUGGGGACAUAGGACAGUGCUGGUGGGGUGGCUGCCCCAAUGUAGGCUGCAAGAGGAAGAGCAAGCCCCUCCCUCCCUCCAUACCCCGCCCCGCACGUUUCUUCUGUUCGUCUAUUUUGGAGCUGCAGUCUUUAGAACAAAUCAGUACACAAGCAUCAUCACUGCUGGAACAAACUCAUUCUUCACACUCAGAACCUACAUGUCAUCAGGAUUACGUUUGUCCAUCAGAAAUUAGACACAGCCCUCCAUGGACUUAGAUUCUUCACAAACAGCACCCAGUCUGUCAGAGGAACCUGAUAGUUUCCGAAUAAAUGAGUAGUUUCCUAGAACUUAGGGGUUAUUCAUUUUUGAAAAACAUAUCUCCACCCCAAGUGGUUAGUAGUGUUACGUAAUAUGGGAGAUAGAAGAGCGCCAUGAAGUGGUGAGUCCUCCUGCCUUGAAACAGCAAGACAAGCAGCAACCCCAGGAGAUGAGCUCACACAGCCACAGCUUUUUGAGCCCCUUAAAAUCCUAUUAGGAAGAACCAAGCUGGGCCCCGCACCCUAUGCCUCUAAUCCCACCCAGCACUCAGGAGGCAGAGGCAGGUGAGUCUCUGUGACUUCAAGGUCAGACUGGUCUAUGUGGCAGAUUCCAGCUUAGACAGGGUGACAGAGUGAGACCGUGUCUCAGAAGAGGAGGAGGUAGAGGAAGAGAAGAGAGAGAAGGGAGGGGGAAGAAAGAGGGAGGAGAGGGGGAGGAGGAGAGAUUGAGGAGGAGGAGGAGGAGGAGAGGUGGAGGAGGGGAAGGAGAGGGAGAGGAGGAGGAGGAGGAUCAGAUUCCACAGGUUCAGCUCAUGAUUCUCCUUUCAAAAAGGACAUGGGGACAGUAACCUAGACAUGCUACAGAAGCUGGGCUAGCUCUAGAGCUGACACAGGGAGAAACCUGAUUUCUAAUAUCCAGAUUCUCAUGUGCAAAAUACAGCUGUUGGUCACUGUGGUGGUUUGAAAGAAAAUGGCUCCCAUAGGUAGUGGCACUAUUAGGAGGUGUGACUUUGCUGGAGUAGGUGUGGCCUUGUUAGAGGAAGGUGUCACUGUGAGGGUGGGCUUUGAGGUCUCAUAGAAGCCCAAACCAUGCCCAGUGUCUCAGUCCACUUCCUGUUGCCUUCUGAUCAAGAUGUAGCCAGCAUCAUGUCUGCCUGCAUGCCGCCAUGUCCCACCAUGAUGAUAAUGGACUAAAUGUACUAAACCUUUGAAACUGUAAGCCAACCCCAGUUAAAUGUUUUCCUUUGUAAGAGUUGCUGUGGUCAUGGUCUCUUCACAGCACUAGAAAGGCUGACUAAGACGGUCACUAUGUCAUGAAGUAUAUUUCCUAUGAGGGGGGAGGAGGCUUGCAGAGCACAGUGCAGUCCUCCCACCCAGCCUACCUAAAAAUGGCAGACACAAAUUCUCAAAAAACCUCCAGCUCACUUGACAAUUAAAAAAUGUAGGCCAUACCUACUGUUUUAUGGACAAUUUGGAGUGAUGGUAUAAUAUUUUUCAGAUAGAAAAAUUAAUGUUAUUGAAUUAAGAAAAAAAUCCACAAAGGCAAAUUUAAUCUAAUGGAGUGAUUUUAAAAAGUACUAACUACUUAGAAGAAUAUAAUGCAUAUAUAACUUCACUACAGAGCAAAUAAUUCUAUAAUGUUUAUUUUGGCAAUCUGAUAAUGAUUAGCAAUCAAUAAAAGUUUUAAAAGAAACAUACACACAUACACACACACACACACACACACACACACAGCCAAAACACAUGUGUGAAAACAUAGGUUGACAUCAGACAGCAUGGCAGGGAAAUUCUCAGAAUGCUUUUGCACAGACUAGCACUCCCAGCAUGCCUCACAUUAUCUGGAGCAGAGUCUUUGUUAUCCAAAGACCUGUAUUAUUCUAGUAUUUCCUAACAUUGGUUUUACAUUAAGCCAAGCUAGUUCUCUUGGGUAGCAAACAUCAACACAACACAUGGAAAUUAUUCAACCGGGGACUUGAUGAGAAACGUUUUCUUGGCAGCCACAUAGCAAUGCUGAGGAAAAGCACACUCAUUUCCAGAGGCCAUUUGAAGCCAAACUGUGUCCUGAUUCUGUCUUCCAAAGAAGCACUUCUUUAAUACCUUUGGGAGGGACUCUGUCUACAGUAACGGCUAAUACACAUAUAGUAUGUAUUAUACUGACUAGUGAAAAUCUUUUGACUAAAUUGAACUGUUUUUUUUUGGGGGGGGGGGUUGUUUUUGUCUUUGUUUUUUAAAAGACAAGAUCUAGCCAGAUAGUCCAGGUUGGUCUUGAACUCAAAAUCCUACCUCUUGUCUCAGUUUGCUGAGUGCUGGAAUUACAGAUGUGUGCUGCCACAAUGGACCAGACGUAGCUUUUUUUUUUUUUAUGGACAUGUAGUAAUUAUACAUAUUCAUGGGGUAGGAUGUGAUAAUUUAAUAUAUGCAUACACGAUGAUCAACAAGAACACUCAGAAUAUCUCUCACAAAUAUUUCCAUCACUUUGGGUUGACAAUAUUCAGCUUCUUCUAAUUACUUCUAACCACCGUCACUCCGCCAUGCUUUUGGUUUUCUCCUAGAGGCACUGGGGCUUGACCUCAAGGCCUUCUGCAUUCAAGGUGACCUCCACCACUGUGCUGUACCCUCUGCUGUAUACACAGAACCGAGAUAUUCUCUUUAGUGCAUAACCUACCUGUUAACCACCCUCUUCCUAUUAACCCCAUCCCCCAUCCCAGCCUCUGCCAACCACCAUUCCUCUCUUAUUUCUGGGAGAUCAACAUUUUACAUAUUGCAGACCACCAUACAGUGACCUGUGGAGGCUGCAGAAAGGUUCUGGAGACGUGUACAAUGUUUAUUUUCUCAAAACCCCCAAGGGAAGCAUCAGGGCUAGGGGGUGCAGCUCAAAGGCAGUGUUGGUCUUGCACACAUAAGGCCCUCGGCUAGAUUCUUGAAGAAGGGGGAGGGGAAUAUGGGAGGGGGAAGGGGAAAGAGGAGGAGGAUGGAGAAGUGGGGUAGAAAGUGGGGAGAAUGAAAUGGAAAGGAGAGAGGGAGGAAGGGGAGAAAGGGGAAGGGGCAGUAAGAAAAGAGAACGCUCCCAACAUAAAAAGUAUCCUUGGGUUUGUGCAAAAAUAACUGCAAUACCUUCACUAGUAACACUGACAGCUCCUACCACACACCUGUGAAUAAAAACAAGCACAGGAAAGAUGACCUUCUGAAACAAAGGGUAUAUGAAGCACAGUGAAUUAUAACAGAAAUUAAUGAACAGGAGAAAUCGGGCAGUGCUGGCACACGCCUUCAACCCCAGCACUCAGGAGACAGAGGCAGGUAGAACUCUGUGAGUUCGAGGCCAGCCUGGUCUACAGAGCGAAUUCCAGAACAGCCAGGGCUACACAGAGAAACCCCUGUCUUGGGGUGGGGGAGGGGAAGUGGGUUUUACAUUAUUGCAAGAAGACGCCAGCCCCAAAUGGCUGAGUCGAAAUUUUCAUUGCAAGAAAAGUGAUCAAUGGUGAAUUUAAGAGAGUAAUACAUUUGUCUUUUCUCAAAACCAGUAUUGUGGUUUACAGGAAUGUCAGCCUUGCACAUCAGUAACUCAGAGUCUUCUCUGAAAGCCAUCCACCACUGCCAUCCACCCAAAUGUGAAUUGGCAACCAUCACACCGGUCUAAACCACCCAGCCC